AACGAACGCUGGCGGCAUGCCUUACACAUGCAAGUCGAACGGCAGCACGGGAGCAAUCCUGGUGGCGAGUGGCGAACGGGUGAGUAAUAUAUCGGAACGUGCCCAGUCGUGGGGAUAACGUAGCGAAAGCUACGCUACUACCGCAUACGAUCUACGGAUGAAAGCGGGGGAUCGCAAGACCUCGCGCGAUUGGAGCGGCCGAUAUCAGAUUAGGUAGUUGGUGAGGUAAAGGCUCACCAAGCCGACGAUCUGUAGCUGGUCUGAGAGGACGACCAGCCACACUGGGACUGAGACACGGCCCAGACUCCUACGGGAGGCAGGCAGUGGGGGAAUUUUGGACAAUGGGCGCAAGCCUGAUCCAGNAAUNCCGCUGCAGGAUGAA
rnacentral:rRNA from 1 species